UCACUAGUAGAGAAAAGGUCAUUUGCAACUCCCUUUUCACAACUCACCUAAUGUGUGAAUGCUACGAAAAGCAUUGGUCAACGUGGCUCAAUGAUUUAAUGAUUUUAUAGCACCGUUUUUGGGCUGGGAACGCUGCAAUAUUUGGGGAAAAAAAACUUAAAAACGUACUCGCAGCGCACCGAGUGAGUGCACGCUAAGAAAAAGUUUGUAAUUGCAACUUCAUCCCGAUAUACACGCUGCGCGAACCUUUUCUCAAACCUAAACAAUUGUUAAGUCUCCCUCUCUCCCUGGAACUCUCCGUCCAUUUCAAACCCUAGAAUUCAUUAUCUCUCUGUUUCUUCCAAAUCGUUCAAUGGGUUUUUGAAAAAGAGCUUCGAUCUAGUUCCUUCCAACUCUCAUCAAACUAGAGGAGUAGAUCGGGUUACUGAUGUAGCGCAAACCUCCCCUCGUGCCAAAGAGAGUUAAAGAGAUGGCGGAUGAGAAAGAGGACACCGACCUCGUACCGCGCUUGAAGUUCUACCUUCACUUCGUCAAUUCUGGCAGGGUUUCAAUUUUUAAACUCUUUGUUUUCUUCGAUUUUAAAUGAUUUAUGAUGUUUGGCUGAUUUGAUUUCUUAAUUUUUGGGGAUUUAUUGUUCUUCAUUUUAGUUGUUAAUUUGAUGUAAAUUUGUUGAUUUCUAUUAAUUGAGAGAAUGCACUUCCGCAUCUGCGCUCGUCAAGCCAACUUUCUUCUUUGGUUUGGGAGGUUAAACAGCGGUUGAAGCGGCACAUUAGGUGAAGGGUUCUGGUAGUUUAAGGGUUAUUUUUUUUAAUGUUUCAGACGAAUUUGUUGAUUUGGAAUCAAAUUGGUUUAGGU